CCUACGGGUGGCUGCAGUGAGGAAUAUUGGUCAAUGGGCGAGAGCCUGAACCAGCCAAGUCGCGUGAAGGAUGACGGCCCUACGGGUUGUAAACUUCUUUUGUCAGGGAGCAAUUGAGUCCACGUGUGGGCUUAGCGAGAGUACCUGAAGAAAAAGCAUCGGCUAACUCCGUGCCAGCAGCCGCGGUAAUACGGAGGAUGCGAGCGUUAUCCGGAUGUAUUGGGUUAAAAGGGUGCGUAGGCGGAAUAUCAAGUCAGCGGUAAAGAUUCGGGGCUCAACCCCGUCGUGCCGUUGAAACUGAUGUUCUUGAGUGGGCGAGAGGUAUGCGGAAUGUGUAGUGUAGCGGUGAAAUGCGUAGAUAUCACGCGGAACUCCGAUGGCGAAGGCAGCAUACCGGAGCCCAACUGACGCUGAAGCACGAAAGCGUGGGUAUCGAACAGGAUUAGAUACCCGAGUAGUC
rnacentral:rRNA from 1 species